UGGAGGCAGCAGUGGGGAAUAUUGCACAAUGGGCGAAAGCCUGAUGCAGCCAUGCCGCGUGUGUGAAGAAGGCCUUCGGGUUGUAAAGCACUUUAGGCGGGGAGGAAAAGCGUACGGUUAAUAACCGUGCGCCGUGACGUUACCCGCAGAAUAAGCACCGGCUAACUCCGUGCCAGCAGCCGCGGUAAUACGGAGGGUGCGAGCGUUAAUCGGAAUUACUGGGCGUAAAGCGCGCGUAGGCGGUUUGAUAAGCGGAGUGUGAAAUCCCCGGGCUUAACCUGGGAACUGCAUUCCGAACUGUCGAGCUAGAGUAUGAGAGAGGGUGGCGGAAUUCCGAGUGUAGCGGUGAAAUGCGUAGAUAUUCGGAGGAACACCAGUGGCGAAGGCGGCCACCUGGAUCAAUACUGACGCUGAGGCGCGAAAGCGUGGGUAGCAAACAGGAUUAGAUACCCCGGUAGG
rnacentral:rRNA from 1 species